AACGAACGCUGGCGGUGCGUCUUAAGCAUGCAAGUCGAACGGUAACGGGCCUUCGGGUGCCGACGAGUGGCGAACGGGUGAGUAACACGUAGGUGAUCUGCCUUUGGGUUGGGGAUAGCCUGUGGAAACACAGGGUAAUACCGAAUGAUGUCGUAGUACUGUGGUGCAACGAUUAAAGGGGCUAUGGCCCCGCCUGAAGAUGAGCCUGCGGCUGAUUAGCGAGUUGGUGAGGUAAAGGCUCACCAAGGCGACGAGCAGUAACCGGCCUGGGAGGGUGGCCGGUCACACUGGGACUGAGAUACGGCCCAGACUCCUACGGGAGGCAGCAGCUAAGAAUCUUCCGCAAUGGACGAAAGUCUGACGGAGCGACACCGCGUGAGUGAUGAAGGCGGAAACGUUGUAAAGCUCUUUUAUGGAUGAGGAAUAAGCUUGGAAGGGAACGUCCGAGUGAUGACGGUAGUCCAUGAAUAAGCCCCGGCUAAUUACGUGCCAGCCGCCGCAGUAA
rnacentral:rRNA from 1 species